ACGGAUGAAAAUCCACGAGGGGCUGGGUUUGGGUGGGUUCCCAUCCCUUUCCCACUGGCAGGUGCCAGCCUGCCCUGGGGGAACAGGAGCUCUUUCCUUGGUGGCAGCCUCAAUUCUCACCCCAAAUAAUCCCAAAUUUCUGGGUUUUCUGCCCAGGGGGCACAGGAGCUCUCUCUCCUUGGUGGCAGGGCAGCCUCAAUUCUCACCCCAAUCCCAAAUUUCUGGGUUGCCUGCCCAAGGGGAACAGGAGCUCUCUCUCCUUGGUAGCAGCCUCGAUUUUCACCCCAUAAUCCCAAAUUUCUGGGGUGCCUGCCCAGGGGGAACAGGAGUUCUUUCUCCUUGGUGGCAGGGUAGCCUCAAUUCUCACCCCAAUCCCAAAUUUCUGGGUUUUCUGCCCAGAGGGAACAGGAGCUCUCUCUCCUUGGUGGCAGCCCCAAUUCUCACCCCAAUCCCAAAUCUCUGCGUUGCAGAUUCCUCAGGAAACAAGGAUAAACUCCAAACGAGGAGAUGGCAGAGUUGUGAUCCCCACAGUGAAUCCUGCCGGCUCUGAGGACACCAAGCCCUGCUCUGUGCCACCUCCC
rnacentral:lncRNA from 1 species